GCUAGGGGUGAAAGGCCAAUCAAAUUCCGUGAUAGCUGGUUCUCUCCGAAAUGCAUUUAGGUGCAGCGUCGGUUGAUUGCAUCGCGGGGGUAGAGCUACUGGAUGCUUGCGGGCCCGUGUCGGGUACCAAUAGCAGCCAAACUCCGAAUACCGUGGAUGUGUAUUCCGGCAGUGAGUCGGCGGGGGAUAAGCUCCGUCGUCGAGAGGGAGACAGCCCAGAUCGUCGUCUAAGGUCCCGAAGCGUGUGCUAAGUGGGAAAGGAUGUGGAGUCGCAUAGACAGCCAGGAGGUUGGCUCAGAAGCAGCCAUCCUUGAAAGAGUGCGUAACAGCUCACUGGUCUAGUGGUUCCGCGCCGACAAUGUAGCGGGGCUCAAGCACACCACCGAAGACGCGGCAGCACCUUUUUUGGUGCUGGGGAGGAGAGCGUCCCGCGUGGGGCGAAGCGGCCGGGGAACCGUGCCGUGGACCGCGCGGGAGUGAGAAUGCAGACAUGAGUAGCGAGAGACGGGUGAGGAUCCCGUCCGCUGGAUGACCAAGGGUUCCGGGGCCACGUUCGUCGUCCCCGGGUGAGUCGGGUCCUAAGGCGAGGCCGACAGGCGUAGUCGAAUGGAUGAACGGGUGGAUAUUCCCGUACCGGCGGCGUACCGUAAGAGCCGAACGGAUGAGUACUAACCUCCGGUCGCGUGGCGUCGUUCCCUUCGGGGUUCGGGGCGCGUGGCUGUUGGGAGCGUAGUCCCGGUAGGCUAGCGCACAGGGGUGACACGGAAUGGGAGCCGGCCGCGGAGGUGGUUUUCCGUGGUCAAGCACGCAGCCCGUCCCAUAGGCAAAUCCGUGGGACGUGAGGGUGAGGUGUGAUGAUGGGCGUCCUUUGGACGCGAUAUCCGGUGGUCCAGGCCGUCGAGAAAAGCCUCGGCGCGAGGGGCGUCGCCGCCCGUACCCCAAACCGACACUGGUGGUCAGGUAGAGAAUACCAAGGCGAUCGAGCGAAUCCUGGUCAAGGAACUCGGCAAAUCACUCCCGUGCCUUCGGUAUAAGGGAGACCCCCGGGCGUGAAGAGGCUUGCCCUCGGAGCGUUGGGGGGUGGCACAGACCAGGGGGUAGCGACUGUUUACCAAAAACACAGGUGCAUGCGAAGGCGCAAGCCGCUGUAUAUGCACUGACGCCUGCCCGGUGCCGGAAGGUUAAGAGGAUCCGUCAGCCCCUUUUGGGGUGAAGCGGUGAAUUCAAGCCCCGGUAAACGGCGGUGGUAACUAUAACCAUCCUAAGGUAGCGAAAUUCCUUGUCGGGUAAGUUCCGACCUGCACGAAUGGCGUAACGACUUCCCCACUGUCUCGACCAGGAGCUCGGCGAAAUUGCAGUACGAGUAAAGAUGCUCGUUAAGCGCAGAAGGACGAAAAGACCCCGGGACCUUUACUAUACCUUGGUAUUGGCGUUAGGCGCGGAUUGUGUAGCAUAGGCGGGAGGCUUCGAAGCGCGGGCGCCAGCCCGUGUGGAGCCGCAAGGUGAAAUACCGCUCUGUUCUCGUUUGACGUCUAACCUCGAACAGUCAUCCUGUUCAGGGACAGUGCCUGGCGGGUAGUUUAACUGGGGCGGUUGCCUCCCAAAGAGUAACGGAGGCGCUCAAAGGUCCGCUCAGCCCGGUUGGCAAUCGGGUUUCGAGUGUAAUCGCACAAGCGGGCUUGACUGCGAGAACGACGGUUCGGGCAGGGACGAAAGUCGGAGAUAGUGAUCCGGUGCCGGCGCACGGGCGCGGCAUCGCUCAACGGAUAAAAGGUACCCCGGGGAUAACAGGCUGAUCAUUCCCAAGAGUCCAUAUCGACGGGAUGGUUUGGCACCUCGAUGUCGGCUCGUCGCAUCCUGGGGCUGGAGCAGGUCCCAAGGGUUCGGCUGUUCGCCGAUUAAAGCGGCACGCGAGCUGGGUUCAGAACGUCGUGAGACAGUUUGGUCUCUAUCCUCUGCGCUCGUUGGAAUCCUGAGGAGGCCUGCCCAUAGUACGAGAGGACCUGGGUGGACGGACCUCUGGUAUGCCGGUUGUCGCGCCAGCGGCAUGGCCGGUUGGCUACGUUCGGGAGGGAUAACCGCUGAAAGCAUCUAAGCGGGAAGCCUGCUCCAAGAUUAGGAUUCCUUGACGCUCCCCGGAGCGUCCGAAGCCCGCAUGUUGAACACGUGUUCGAUAGGCCGGAGGUGGAAGCCCCGCGAGGGGUGGAGCCGACCGGUACUAACGGGCGAACGCGGCACAC
rnacentral:rRNA from 1 species